rnacentral:snRNA from 1 species
AGGUGCCACAGCUCUUUUAGUAUUUGUCUAGUAGGUUUUCCAGUUUUUGCCAGAAAAUCUCC